AUUGAACGCUGGCGGAAUGCUUUACACAUGCAAGUCGAACGGCAGCACGGGGCAACCUGGUGGCGAGUGGCGAACGGGUGAGUAAUACAUCGGAACGUGCCCGAUCGUGGGGGAUAACGGAGCGAAAGCUUUGCUAAUACCGCAUACGAUCUACGGAUGAAAGCAGGGGACCGCAAGGCCUUGCGCGGACGGAGCGGCCGAUGGCAGAUUAGGUAGUUGGUGGGAUAAAAGCUUACCAAGCCGACGAUCUGUAGCUGGUCUGAGAGGACGACCAGCCACACUGGGACUGAGACACGGCCCAGACUCCUACGGGAGGCAGCAGUGGGGAAUUUUGGACAAUGGGCGCAAGCCUGAUCCAGCCAUGCCGCGUGCAGGAUGAAGGCCUUCGGGUUGUAAACUGCUUUUGUACGGAACGAAAAGACUCUUUCUAAUAAAGAGGGUCCAUGACGGUACCGUAAGAAUAAGCACCGGCUAACUACGUG
rnacentral:rRNA from 1 species